rnacentral:lncRNA from 1 species
ACCAUUGUUCGUUAUACUAACUGAGCUUUUUUUAAAAGAAGUCCAAACAAUAUUCCUCAAAAGACAUGCUAGAAAAAAGAUAAAUCCUAAAAAUUAUUAUAAAAAAUUAGAAACAUGUGGCCAUAUGUUCAGUUCACUCUAAUCAUCAUCAUUGAUGGUAACCCAUUAGAAACAUCUUGCCAUCUCAUUAUUUUCUUAAAUCUCACAUCUACCAUUAUAGAAACAGUCUAAAGGAAACCCAACCCUCCUCCCAACCCCCACUCCCCAC